AGGCUGAGGCGUGAUGACGAGGCACUACGGUGCUGAAGCAACAAAUGCCCUGCUUCCAGGAAAAGCCUCUAAGCAUCAGGUAACAUCAAAUCGUACCCCAAACCGACACAGGUGGUCAGGUAGAGAAUACCAAGGCGCUUGAGAGAACUCGGGUGAAGGAACUAGGCAAAAUGGUGCCGUAACUUCGGGAGAAGGCACGCUGAUAUGUAGGUGAAGUCCCUCGCGGAUGGAGCUGAAAUCAGUCGAAGAUACCAGCUGGCUGCAACUGUUUAUUAAAAACACAGCACUGUGCAAACACGAAAGUGGACGUAUACGGUGUGACGCCUGCCCGGUGCCGGAAGGUUAAUUGAUGGGGUUAGCGCAAGCGAAGCUCUUGAUCGAAGCCCCGGUAAACGGCGGCCGUAACUAUAACGGUCCUAAGGUAGCGAAAUUCCUUGUCGGGUAAGUUCCGACCUGCACGAAUGGCGUAAUGAUGGCCAGGCUGUCUCCACCCGAGACUCAGUGAAAUUGAACUCGCUGUGAAGAUGCAGUGUACCCGCGGCAAGACGGAAAGACCCCGUGAACCUUUACUAUAGCUUGACACUGAACAUUGAGCCUUGAUGUGUAGGAUAGGUGGGAGGCUUUGAAGUGUGGACGCCAGUCUGCAUGGAGCCGACCUUGAAAUACCACCCUUUAAUGUUUGAUGUUCUAACGUGGACCCGUGAUCCGGGUUGCGGACAGUGUCUGGUGGGUAGUUUGACUGGGGCGGUCUCCUCCUAAAGAGUAACGGAGGAGCACGAAGGUUGGCUAAUCCUGGUCGGACAUCAGGAGGUUAGUGCAAUGGCAUAAGCCAGCUUGACUGCGAGCGUGACGGCGCGAGCAGGUGCGAAAGCAGGUCAUAGUGAUCCGGUGGUUCUGAAUGGAAGGGCCAUCGCUCAACGGAUAAAAGGUACUCCGGGGAUAACAGGCUGAUACCGCCCAAGAGUUCAUAUCGACGGCGGUGUUUGGCACCUCGAUGUCGGCUCAUCACAUCCUGGGGCUGAAGUAGGUCCCAAGGGUAUGGCUGUUCGCCAUUUAAAGUGGUACGCGAGCUGGGUUUAGAACGUCGUGAGACAGUUCGGUCCCUAUCUGCCGUGGGCGCUGGAGAACUGAGGGGGGCUGCUCCUAGUACGAGAGGACCGGAGUGGACGCAUCACUGGUGUUCGGGUUGUCAUGCCAAUGGCACUGCCCGGUAGCUAAAUGCGGAAGAGAUAAGUGCUGAAAGCAUCUAAGCACGAAACUUGCCCCGAGAUGAGUUCUCCCUGACCCUUUAAGGGUCCUGAAGGAACGUUGAAGACAACGACGUUGAUAGGCCGGGUGUGUAAGCGCAGCGAUGCGUUGAGCUAACCGGUACUAAUGAACCGUGAGGCUUAACCUU
rnacentral:rRNA from 1 species